UACGAAGGGGGCUAGCGUUGCUCGGAAUGACUGGGCGUAAAGGGCGCGUAGGCGGCGCUGCAAGUCAGGCGUGAAAUUCCUGGGCUUAACCUGGGGGCUGCGCUUGAGACUGUGGUGCUAGAGGAUGGAAGAGGCUCGUGGAAUUCCCAGUGUAGAGGUGAAAUUCGUAGAUAUUGGGAAGAACACCGGUGGCGAAGGCGGCGAGCUGGUCCAUUACUGACGCUGAGGCGCGACAGCGUGGGGAGCAAACAGG
rnacentral:rRNA from 1 species